ACCAGACUCCUACGGGAGGCAGCAGUGGGGGAUAUUGCACAAUGGGGGAAACCCUGAUGCAGCGACGCCGCGUGAGUGAAGAAGUAUUUCGGUAUGUAAAGCUCUAUCAGCAGGGAAGAAGAUGACAGUACCUGAGUAAGAAGCCCCGGCUAACUACGUGCCAGCAGCCGCGGUAAUACGUAGGGGGCAAGCGUUAUCCGGAUUUACUGGGUGUAAAGGGAGCGUAGACGGUUAUGUAAGUCUGGAGUGAAAGCCCGGGGCCCAACCCCGGGACUGCUUUGGAAACUGUGUAACUAGGGUACAGGAGGGGCAGGCGGAAUUCCUGGUGUAGCGGUGAAAUGCGUAGAUAUCAGGAGGAACACCGGCGGCGAAGGCGGCCUGCUGGACUGAAACUGACGUUGAGGCUCGAAAGCGUGGGGAGCAAACAGGAUUAGAUACCCGAGUAAG
rnacentral:rRNA from 1 species